CCUUUUCAGGGAUUCGCAGUUGAGAGUCGAGGGAAUCGACCUCCCCAGGUGAGUCCUGGAGGAGAGGCACAGAUCCUAAUAUGUUCUGCACUGUAGCCCAUGGCAGUUCCAUCAAAUAGCUGAAUUUGAGCACUCUGAAAGAUGGGACACAAUGGCCACUAUUACGGCUACACUGAGGAAUACAAUGCCUUCUCUCCUCUACUCCUCAUCCUGGUAAAACUACAGUGACAGAUAAAAGUAGGAGGAUUUCAAUUGAGCCCAGAACUUCUUGUAUACAAUUAGACCUUGUAUGUUGCCCAUGGUCAAGGUUAGAUAAUGGCUGUGCAACACUGUUUUUUUUCCCCCCCAUAAGAUCAU